rnacentral:lncRNA from 1 species
CGUAAUAUCUGAAUAUUUAAAUACGUCAUUUUUAAUUUAUUCCAAUUCUCUUCGCUGAUUCAAUAUUACACGGGUGACAUUAUUCUCGUAUAUUACGAAGACCGAUACGUCUUGCUUAUCUAAAGUGCCACAUAUGUCAGACAUUCGCAAUUUCAACUGCAUUAAUAUAUGUAACGACUGUCCUUUGUUUAGCUUCAUUGUUGAUUUCAAAAACUACGUCCCCUUUCCUGUUAACGAAUCUCAUGCAUUGCAAUCUGUUUGCAAUUCUACGUCUCAACUUUUAAAAACAAAAUCUUCACGGAAAGUGUUACGGUUGCGAAAUAGAAAAGAUACGGAAAAAGUAUCUCACGGCUGACUGAUAUAUUUUUAAAGCAUCCAAUAUAUCGUGUGAGCUAAAAAUAACCAAAUACAAUUAAAUCCCGGGAAUCGGGCUCGACAAAGCUGAAACCGGUUUCAAUUCGUACAGCAGUAUCAAUAGCGAUGAUAAAAUGGACUAAAUCUGGAGUAACAAUAGGACAUAGAAAUUGAUUUGCUUGAAAAGGUUAUCUCGUAAUAGCACGUGCAACAGUACGAAUAACAAAGGGUUAGUUUCGAAUAUUUGUGACGGUUUGUUUCCAAAUGAAAAUACGUCGGUCGUGCGCAAUAAUCAAUCGACAAUUCGUAUUGUUGCAUGAUAAUGGAAUUAGCGGCGCGAUAAGUAUAAACGUACACGUGGAAUUAAUAUUGACGGUCAGUUAGAUCAGAUUAUUCUCAUCAUCCUACGCAACAGUAUUUUACGUAAAAAAUGAAACGCAUGACUUGGCUCAUGCGCAUGCGCAUUGGCGUAAUUAGAAUUUUCGUCUGGUGUGCUUUCUCAAAUUUAUUUAGUGUCAAUGCCCCAUCAUACUAAAUAUGAUCACUCGAUAUGAAAAUUUGUAGCAUGAGGUAUGUUAUUUUUUUUUAGAAAAUUGUAACUGGUACAAGGAGAUCUUGAACAAAAGAGAAACGGAUUUAAAUCGUCGAUUUCCUGUUACUGAAAUUUCACUGAUGAUUCGCAGAGAUAUGCAGAACGUGUUCCCUCGAAACGAGGUACGAAAUAAAAAUUCAACUAUUCUCGACGGUGUCAAUGAAUACGAUUGGUUAUUUGACUAUGGUAGUUAAUCAACGACUAUAAUUGUAUAAGCGUGAAACUGUGUUGCAUGCUGGUGUACUGUGACGAAUAUUGACUUUUUUAUGACUACAUAAAGGUGCUCGGCAAUAUGAUUCGAUAACUUUCUCCUGAAGUAUGCCUUGAGGUACUUUUUCCUGAUUCAGUGAUCUAUAAUAUAUGGAAUUUGUACAUAGUUAAAUUUAUUAUUUAUUUCAAUGCAUUGUACCCUACAAUAAGGACAUGGUCUCCACUUGCUUUCGAUUUCAGGAGAUCUAAUUUGUGAAUUUAAAAUUUCCAAAUCCCCAUAUUACCACAUUUGUAAAUUACCAAAUUUUCUACUUUCUAAAUUUUAAAAUUUCUUUUUUGUACUUAGAUGUUGCACACUGCAACAUUCUUAAGUAUUGACACAUACAAAUACUAGACCAAGGGUUACACUAAGAGUACAGUGGCCUGUAUCGAACAAACUUUCACUGCAAAAUACAAAUACAAGUUAUUGCAUCGCUACACCGGAAGUACCCGAAGGUCUUAACGACGUAUUUCGAAAAAUGAGAUUUUUGAUUUUGCAAUCAGACUGUUUCAUUAUGUGGCUUAAUUCCAACGAUGAAAUAUCUUCGACAUAAUAGAGUGUUAUUAAUUUUGUUAAACUACCAAAUUAACCGGAUUCUGAGUGGAUUUAAAAUAGAUUGAUUUACGCGCGCAAUUUUCGGGACAUAAAUUAUUUCAGACUGCGAUUAGGAACCCAUUAAUUCUUCAGCUCUGAAUUACCGACAGAGUGACACGUUUGCAGCUUAUCAAGUACUUCUAUUCUUGUCCAUUCGGUCAGAUAUGUAUGUACACGCCUCCUCUCCAACGUGCUUGUUUACUUUUUUAUAUAAGAAAGAUGGAAUCUACCAUCCAGGGCCGUAUGACUUCACUUUAUGAUUACUUUGGGACCCCGUAAAGUCAAUGACGCCAUUGUUGUUUUCAUACCCGUUUGAGUGAAAACGAAAGAGGUGACAAACUAUAUUUCUAAAAUCAAAAAAGAGUUUUGAUAUUUAAUUCUUACAAAGUAUCUCUCAGAGGCAAAUAACCCGUUCGCCCCGUGUUGGAGGAAAAUGAUAUAUUUCUCGCCAAGGAGAAUGUCAGUGUGAAGUCAAUAAAUUAUAUACGGAAAGAAAACAGAAGUACGAGGAUCCCUGAAUUUUUUCAAGGUGAUACACAGAGAAAAUGAAAAGCAAGUCGAAUGAUACACCACAUGGUCAGAAUUGUCGAAUGGGA